ensembl:lncRNA
GUGUGGGUCUGAACCUCAGCUUGCCAUCCACCAGCUCAAACUCAGGGCUUGUUCUGUCGGCUCAGAUAUCCGACCCUGAACUUUCACUCUUAGUGUGUGUCACUAGCAGGUCUUCUCCCCGAGUAAAGAAACAAGGGAUUUCUCGACAACAUACAUCCCCAUGAUGCUCUGCCCCUACGUCAAUAGUUUCAGAAAACACAUUCUUCCCCUGAUCUUUGGAUGGAUUCCUUUCUGCUUUGUCAUCACUGUGCUGCUUUUUCUUUUUAAAUAUAUAUAUUACUGUUUUAUUCUCACAUCCUUCCUGCAGUGUACAAAGGCAGGACUCCCAAGUUCUCCAUACAUCGCAGAUCGCUGCCCCUGCCAGGGCUCCUUACUUGUUUCACACAACUAAUGCUGAGUGCCCAAUCCCAGGCCCCGGAAGUGAUGACCUAGAGCCUGAGUUCCCACGGGACCUAGAGGCCUCUCUGAACCCAGGGUCUUCUCUCUUUUUCAAAUGCAUUGUCAAGUUGUGACCUUUAAUAUUAUGGGAAGUGGAAGUGUGAACGGCUCACUCGUGUCUGACUCUGAGUGACCCCAUGGACUGUUGCUCGCCAGGCUCCACUGUCCAUAGGAUUCUCCAUGCAAGAAUACUGGAGUGGGUUGCCAUUUCCUUCUUCAGGGGAUCUUCCCAACCCAUGGAUUGAAUCUGUGUCUCCACAUUCCAGGCAGAUUCAUCUGAGCCACCAGAGAAGCUCUCAUUAUCCCUAGAUUCCCACUCCAUAUUGGUUUCCCAAGUACUGACCCAGAAUUUGAUUUAAAGGAGCAAACACAGUGGCUGACCAUCCAACAGGAGCAAUGUGGUGAAAUAUUAGGGGUCAAACUGCUAAAUUUAUGCUCCUCUGACAUCGUCACCCAAGGUUAGGGCGCCCUGCAGACACUAUCCCUUCCUCCUGUUUUUCUACGUUCUUCCCUCAAGAGUGAUUUUUCAGAGUCACAUACCUUGGUCUGGUAGGAAAAUCCUAGUUUCAGUGUCCAGAGAGCUUCAUCCUCAUCCCACUAAGUCAAUAAAAAUGGUAUGGCCCCAGGGACAGUCACCAACCUUUUCUAGGCCUGUUUCCUUCUAUAUAAUAUUUUGGAGGCUGAAAGCUAUUUCCUGCCAGCUGUAACACCCUGUGAUUCUAAAGUCUCUGUUUAUGGUUUGGCCUCAGUAGACAGAAUUACCAUGACAUGAAAAUCCUGAGGUUCAAUUCAUGUAGGAGAUAAGUUCUUACUUGAUAAGCUUCUUUAAUGUGGGAUCUUUCUGACCCAGCCACCUAGACCCAAUAAGAAUAGCUACCACUGAUAGCCUACCCUGUGCCAGGCAGUGUUCUUGGCAGUUUACAAGCUCAAUCAAGGCUCUCCUAAAGGAUCUUAAGAAGGAAAGGGCUCCUUGGCUACAAUUUAACUCAGCUCCCUUCUGCUCUGUUGAGCUCAAGAAGUAAUGCUUGGUAGACUUACACCUCAUCUCCCACUUCAUAAGCUUUACAAUAUGGUUUUUCCAGUAGUCAUAUAUGAUGUGAGAGUUGGACCAUAAAGAAGGCUGAGAGCCAAAGAAUUGAUGUUUUUGAACUAUGGUGCUUCGAACUGUGGAGAAGACUCUUGAGAGUCCCUUGGACAGCAAGGAGAUCAAACCAGUCCAUCCUAAAGGAAAUAAAUUCUGAAUAUUCGUUGGAAGGACUGAUGCUGAAGCUCCAAUACAAUGUGAAGAACUGACUCACUGGAAAAGACCCUGAUGCUAGGAAAGAGGAGAAGGGGACGACAGAGGAUGAGAUGGUUAGAUGGCAUCACCAACUCAAUGGACAUGAGUUUGAGCAAACUCUGGGAGAUAGCAAAGAACAGGGAAGCCUCGUAUGCUGUGGUUCAUGGAGUCACAAAGAGUCAGACACAACUCAGCGACUGAACACUGCCACUACCACCUAGCAAAGAUGUACACAGAGGUACAGGAGAAGUUAAUAAGUCACAAGAAGACUUCUCUUGAGAAUGAACUAAGCCUGUCGAAAGAAAAAAAAAAAUUCUAAAGAACAAAGCAGGUGGUUUCGCUAUUUUGAGAGCAAGAAAAAAUGAUCAAGGCAAGGCUGAAGCUAUUGCUUGGGUAAAACAGUACAAAACAGCAGAUGUCAAGGACAUGCAGAGCUCAUCAGCAAUGCUUUGUUCUCUCUUUUGGAGGAAAAUGAAGCAAUCCUUAAAGGCCUGAAGUCCCAGACAGUAGAACCCAAUUCUCCAGACUCUUGAAUACACCAGGAUCUAAAGGAACUUGCAGACUGUUAAGACUUGAGUUGGAUAAAGUGAUUCUUGUUUUGCAAACAGUUUGAGGGAAAAAAAAAAAAAUCCAAGAUCUCUCACAAACGUAACAGUCUAUAAAUCAGUGGAAAAGCUAACUUAUUAAGAUACAAAAACAAGAGACACAAAGGAGUCAGAGAAAAGAAAGAGCUAGCAUCCUAUUGUACUUGACUUUGGCCUCACUGGCAGGGAAAUAAUGGAUGAAAGAUGAAGGAAAGCAAAGAGGAGCAUUGGGACGGGACAAAGUACGGGAAAGAGUAGGGAUGAAUAAACAGGUUCCUUGGGAAAGAAUAAGGAAAUAGACCUUCAGAGAGCAGAGUGGUGGCUGGCUGGCAGCAGAGUUUCUCUGGGCUGGAAAACACUUCACUCCGCAACAGGGCUCUGAGGGAUAGGGGACUUCUGGUAUUAGUCCUCAGCCUGCAAACAUGGACCCUCCUGCCCCGUGCUCCAUCAUUUACCUAAUCUUUUCAGAGUCAGUGAUGAAGAGAUGCUGUAUCUGAAAGCCUACAUGCUUCAGUUUUUUUUUUUUUUUUUUUUUAACACUCUAGACUUCUUGCAUCCUGAUUACUUAGGGGAUUUUUAUCAAAACCUUUGGUUGUUUCAAGAUUGUCGGAUUAAGCAUCUUAUUAACCCCAAACCCAAGCACUUUAUUUUUCCCCUGCUUGGUGAGCCUUCCAAACCCUUUUCCCUCUUAAG